rnacentral:rRNA from 1 species
UACGUAGGGGGCAAGCGUUGUCCGGAUUCAUUGGGCGUAAAGAGCGUGUAGGCGGUUUGGUAGGUCCGUUGUGAAAACUCGAGGCUCAACCUCGAGACGCCGAUGGAAACCAUCAGACUAGAGUCCGGAAGAGGAGAGUGGAAUUCCUGGUGUAGCGGUGAAAUGCGCAGAUAUCAGGAAGAACACCCGUGGCUAAGGCGGCUCUCUAGUACGGUACUGACGCUGAGACGCGAAAGCGUGGGGAGCAAACAGG